rnacentral:rRNA from 1 species
GACGAACGCUGGCGGCGUGCUUAACACAUGCAAGUCGAACGGAAAGGCCCUGCUUUUGUGGGGUGCUCGAGUGGCGAACGGGUGAGUAACACGUGAGUAACCUGCCCUUGACUUUGGGAUAACUUCAGGAAACUGGGGCUAAUACCGGAUAGGAGCUCCUGCUGCAUGGUGGGGGUUGGAAAGUUUCGGCGGGUGGGGAUGGACUCGCGGCUUAUCAGCUUGUUGGUGGGGUAGUGGCUUACCAAGGCUUUGACGGGUAGCCGGCCUGAGAGGGUGACCGGCCACAUUGGGACUGAGAUACGGCCCAGACUCCUACGGGAGGCAGCAGUGGGGAAUAUUGCACAAUGGGCGGAAGCCUGAUGCAGCAGCGCCGCGUGCGGGAUGACGGCCUUCGGGUUGUAAACCGCAUUAGCCUGUGACGAAGCGUGAGUGACGGUAAUGGGUAAAGAAGCACCGGCUAACUACGUG